rnacentral:sRNA from 1 species
GAAUCAUGUCAGAGAAGAGGGAACAUCAGCAGAAGGAAUGAGAUGCCUCAAAAUUCGAUCUUGGAAGUUGAAAUUUUUGAUGUGUGGGGAAU